AACGAACGCUGGCGGCAGGCUUAAAACAUGCAAGUCGAACGCAUCGCAAGAUGAGUGGCAGACGGGUGAGUAACACGUGGGAAUCUACCCAUCCCUGCGGAACAACUCCGGGAAACUGGAGCUAAUACCGCAUACGCCCUUUGGGGGAAAGAUUUAUCGGGGAUGGAUGAGCCCGCGUUGGAUUAGCUAGUUGGUGGGGUAAAGGCCUACCAGGGCGACGAUCCAUAGCUGGUCUGAGAGGAUGAUCAGCCACAUUGGGACUGAGACACGGCCCAAACUCCUACGGGAGGCAGCAGUGGGGAAUAUUGGACAAUGGGCGCAAGCCUGAUCCAGCCAUGCCGCGUGAGUGAUGAAGGCCUUAGGGUUGUAAAGCUCUUUCACCGGAGAAGAUAAUGACGGUAUCCGGAGAAGAAGCCCCGGCUAACUUCGUGCCAGCCGCCGCAGUAAUAC
rnacentral:rRNA from 1 species